rnacentral:rRNA from 1 species
UACGUAGGGGGCUAGCGUUGUCCGGAAUCAUUGGGCGUAAAGAGCGUGUAGGCGGCCCGGUAAGUCCGCUGUGAAAGUCGGGGGCUCAACCCUCGGAUGCCGGUGGAUACUGUCGGGCUAGAGUACGGAAGAGGCGAGUGGAAUUCCUGGUGUAGCGGUGAAAUGCGCAGAUAUCAGGAGGAACACCGAUUGCGAAGGCAGCUCGCUGGGACGUUACUGACGCUGAGACGCGAAAGCGUGGGGAGCAAACAGG